GGGUGGACAGGUGGUGCAUGGUUGUCGUCAGCUCGUGUCGUGAGAUGUUGGUUAAGUCCCGCAACGAGCGCAACCCUCGACCUUAGUUGCCAGCAUUCAGUUGGGCACUCUAAGGUGACUGCCGGCUAAAAGUCGGAGGAAGGUGGGGAUGACGUCAAAUCAUCAUGCCCCUUAUGACCUGGGCUACACACGUGCUACAAUGGGCGGUACAAAGGGUCGCGAACCCGCGAGGGGGAGCCAAUCCCAAAAAGCCGCUCUCAGUUCGGAUUGCAGGCUAGCAACUCGCCUGCAUGAAGCCGGAAUCGCUAGUAAUCGCGGAUCAGCAUGCCGCGGUGAAUACGUUCCCGGGCCUU
rnacentral:rRNA from 1 species